rnacentral:rRNA from 1 species
UACGGAGGAUGCAAGCGUUAUCCGGAAUGAUUGGGCGUAAAGCGUCCGCAGGUGGCUGUGUAAGUCUGCUGUUAAAGAGUCUAGCUCAACUAGAUAAAAGCAGUGGAAACUACACGGCUAGAGUACGUUCGGGGCAGAGGGAAUUCCUGGUGUAGCGGUGAAAUGCGUAGAGAUCAGGAAGAACACCAGUGGCGAAGGCGGCCCUCUGGUCCAUUAUUGACGCUAAAGCACGAAAGCGUGGGGAGCAAACAGG